AUGAAACUGUUGGGCCUUCUCCUGUGCCUGGCGACAGGACCCCUUGGUGUGCUGUCCCAGGUGCAGCUGCAGGAGUCUGGAACUGGCCUGGUCAAGCCCUCACAGACCCUGGCCCUCACCUGCACUGUCUCUGGAUUCUCCAUCACAACCAGUAAUUACUGGUGGAGCUGGAUCCGUCAGCCCCCAGGAAAAAGCCUGGAGUGGAUGGGGCACAUAAGCUACAGUGGUAGCACUAGCUACAGCCAGUCCCUCCAGAGCCGCAUCUCCAUCUCCCGAAACACAGGCAACAACCAGUUCUCUCUGCAGCUAAACUCAGUCACCACGGAGGACACAGCCACAUAUUAUUGUGCAAGAUUCACAGUGAUUACAUUCAAGUGUGAGCCCAGACACAAACCUCUCUGCAAUGGCACUCAGGACCAGUAG